AAAACAUUCGGACCGUCGUAUCAGCAAGCAAUUUAAUUCGCUCGGUGGAAGAUCUUCGCAUUGUCGU
rnacentral:pre_miRNA from 1 species